UACGUAGGGUGCGAGCGUUGUCCGGAAUUACUGGGCGUAAAGAGCUCGUAGGUGGUUUGUCACGUCGUCUGUGAAAUUCCGGGGCUUAACCUCGGGCGUGCAGGCGAUACGGGCAAUACUUGAGUGCUGUAGGGGAGACUGGAAUUCCUGGUGUAGCGGUGAAAUGCGCAGAUAUCAGGAGGAACACCGAUGGCGAAGGCAGGUUACUGGGCCACCACUGACGCUGAGGAGCGAAAGCGUGGGUAGCGAACAGGAUUAGAUACCCCCGUA
rnacentral:rRNA from 1 species